rnacentral:rRNA from 1 species
GGGCCCGCACAAGCAGCGGAGCAUGUGGUUUAAUUCGAAGCAACGCGAAGAACCUUACCAGGUCUUGACAUCCAGGUAAAGCCGCAGAGAUGCGGUGUGUGCUUGCACGAUCUGAGACAGGUGGUGCAUGGUUGUCGUCAGCUCGUGUCGUGAGAUGUUGGGUUAAGUCCCGCAACGAGCGCAACCCUUGCCGAUAGUUACUAACGGGUAGAGCCGAGGACUUUAUCGGGACCGCCGGGGACAACUCGGAGGAAGGUGGGGACGACGUCAAAUCAUCAUGCCCCUUAUGACCUGGGCUACACACGUGCUACAAUGGCCGAGACAGAGAGAUGCGAAGGCGCGAGCCGGAGCGGACCUCAGAAAAGCGGUCACAGUUCGGAUUGCGGGCUGCAACCCGCCCGCAUGAAGCAGGAGUUGCUAGUAAUCGCGAAUCAGCAUGUCGCGGUGAAUACGUUCCCGGGCCUU